GAUGAACGCUAGCGGCAGGCUUAAUACAUGCAAGUCGAGGGGCAGCAGGUCUGUAGCAAUACAGAUGCUGGCGACCGGCAAACGGGUGCGGAACACGUACACAACCUUCCUUUAAGUGGGGAAUAGCCCAGGGAAACUUGGAUUAAUACCCCGUAAAUUAAUGAAGUGGCAUCACUUUAUAAUUAAAGCUCAGGCGCUUAAUGAUGGGUGUGCGGCUGAUUAGGUAGNGGUCGGGGUAACGGCCCACCAAGCCUGCGAUCAGUAACUGGUGUGAGAGCACGACCAGUCACACGGGCACUGAGACACGGGCCCGGACUCCUACGGGAGGCAGCAGUAAGGAGUAUU
rnacentral:rRNA from 1 species